rnacentral:rRNA from 1 species
UACGUAGGGACCAAGCGUUGUUCGGAUUUACUGGGCGUAAAGGGCGCGUAGGCGGCCAUCUAAGUCAGACGUGAAAUCCCCCGGCUUAACCUGGGAACUGCGUCUGAUACUGGACGGCUAGAGUAUGGGAGAGGGAUGUAGAAUUCCAGGUGUAGCGGUGAAAUGCGUAGAUAUCUGGAGGAAUACCGGUGGCGAAGGCGGCAUCCUGGACCAUUUACUGACGCUGAGGCGCGAAAGCUAGGGGAGCAAACGGG